GACUUGGAUGGUACAAUUUUCACGUGUACCUAGGACACGGUCAGUUCUUUUUCUAUUGUUAAAUUACCUUAAAUAAACUGCCGCAUUGCAGACCUGGUAGACACUGGGAAAGAUUUCUUCAUGACAGGUAUAAGCAGCUAAUGUUUGAGUAACCCGUUCUCCUACUAGGGGUUAUUUUGAACUCAGUUUCACGGCAUGCCAGUCCUACUCAUCUCCAGUCCGUUUAAUCAGGAUGGUCCAUUCUACGUGCCCGUAGUGGAGUCUUGUGAAAAAGGAAAAAUUUAAUUUCUGUUGUUUAUGAUAUAACCAAUGAUACCGGUUGAUCCUCCAAUUAUUCCACCAUUAAAUCCAUUAGUGCUGGCAGCAGAAGCAGCAGCAGCGGCAUCAGCUGCAUUGUUAGAGGUAGCGGCAGCAGCAGCAGCGGCGGUAGAUCCAGAGUUUUGUCCGACAACAUUGGGGUAGUAGGCACCUGGUUGAACAAAUUGACAACCAAUCUGACCGGCAAACUGGGCACCUCUAAUUCCUAUUUGAGAUCCGAAGUUAGCACCAGAUGCAGAGGCAGCAGCAGCGGCGGCAGCAUUUUGUCCAGCUGCAGCAGCGGCAGCUGCGGCGGCGUUUCUACCGACAGCGGCGGCAGCAGCAGCAGCAGCGGAACCUCCCAGACCUGGAAAUUGUUGAACAGCUGGCAAUUGAACGGAUUGUACCUGAUGAACGAAUGGUCCGUAGCUAGAGUCAAUUAAAUGAUGUUCUGAGUGCCCUUGAAGUCCAUUAAAUGAUGUCCUUUGUGCAGAUGAUGCAGCAACAGCGGCAUUCAUACCAUUAGCAGCAGCGGCCGCUGAGUUACCUCCAAACAAUCCUAAUUCAGCAUCAAAUCCAUUCUUAAAAUCUCUUGAAGCUGUAUUGGCUGCCGCGGCGGCGGCAGCAGCGGAAUUCAAUCCACUGGUGGCAGAAGCCAGCGUUUCCACCGUUAAACCCCAAGAUGCUGCUUUCAAAUCCGUUGCUGUUGAUUCCAAUGAAACCACCAUUUAUUCUACGUCCUCCAUAUCCUUGAGAUUUAGGAUAGUAGUCAGUGUUGACUGGCAGAGCGAUAGAGCCAGCAACGAGGCAAAGAAUGGAAACAGCAGGGAUCAUCUGAAAAAAUGAAAAGGAUAUACAUUGUAUAUUCAUUUGAAAUGUACAUUAUUUCUUUUUAAAGCGCAAAGUGUUUUUCUUAGAAAGAAAAGUUUUAUUUUUCCAAGAUUAACUCUUAUCAAGUUGAUUUUUUAACAAGCAAAAGUUUUUGGUAAACUUUAAUACAAUUGAUUUGAUCAAUAACGUACGUGACAAUUGAUGAUUCAUGUUUUCUUAACAUAGGCAUGUUUUUGUUUUUAAGUGAGAAUAUUUCCUCGUGCAAAAGGUUUUACUUCUUGAACCCAUUAUCAAAUUAUAUUGUGUAACAAUAUGGUCGUGUGUUGAAAAGCGCAGUAGAUGAUGACUUUUCAAUUCUUACAGAUAUUUUGUCUUGUUAGAAUAUCUUUUUUCAAUGACAAGUGUACGUUUAUAGAGAUUAUAUCAAUUUCUGGAAUAUAUUUUGUUUAGCAC
rnacentral:sRNA from 1 species